AGGUUACUGCUAUCGGUGUUCGAUUAAGCCAUGCGAGUCGUGAGGGGUAAAGCCCUCGGCGGAGUGCUCAGUAACACGUGGACAACCUACCCAAGAGUCAGGGAUAACCCCGGGAAACUGGGGAUAAUACCUGAUAGGCCAUGACAUCUGGAAUCGAGUUGUGGUUUAAACGUAAGGCUCUUGGAUGGGUCUGCGGCGGAUUAGGUUGUUGCCGGUGUAACGUACCAGCAAGCCUGUAAUCCGUACGGGUUGUGGGAGCAAGAGCCCGGAGAUGGAUUCUGAGACACGAAUCCAGGCCCUACGGGGCGCAGCAGGCGCGAAAACUCUACAAUGCAGGCAACUGCGAUAGGGGAACAUCGAGUGGCAUCCACCAUGGAUGUCUGUCCAAUCGUCUAAAAAACGAUUGUCAGCAAGGGCCGGGCAAGACCGGUGCCAGCCGCCGCGGUAAUACCGGCGGCUCGAGUGGUGGCCGAUAUUAUUGAGUCUAAAGGGUCCGUAGCCGGCUUUGCAAGUCCUAUGGGAAAUCCAGCGGCUUAACCGUUGGGCUUUCAUGGGAUACUACAUUGCUUGGGACUGGGAGAGGUAGGAGGUACUCAGGGGGUAGGGGUGAAAUCCUGUAAUCCUUUGGGGACCACCGGUGGCGAAGGCGUCCUACCAGAACAGGUCCGACGGUGAGGGACGAAAGCUAGGGGCACGAACCGGAUUAGAUACCCGGGUAGUCCUAGCCGUAAACGAUGCUCGCUAGGUGUCACGGCAGUCGUGAGUUGUCGUGGUGCCGUAGGGAAGCCGUGAAGCGAGCCACUUGGGAAGUACGACCGCAAGGUGAAACUUAA
rnacentral:rRNA from 1 species